rnacentral:rRNA from 1 species
UACGAAGGGAGCUAGCGUUGUUCGGAAUCACUGGGCGUAAAGCGCACGUAGGCGGAUUUGUCAGUCAGGGGUGAAAUCCCGGGGCUCAACCUCGGAACUGCCUUCGAUACUGCGGGUCUCGAGUCCGGGAGAGGUGAGUGGAAUUCCUAGUGUAGAGGUGAAAUUCGUAGAUAUUAGGAAGAACACCAGUGGCGAAGGCGGCUCACUGGCCCGGUACUGACGCUGAGGCGCGAAAGCGUGGGGAGCAAACAGG